GAUGAACGCUGGCGAGAUGCCUUAUACAUGCAAGUCGUACGAGAAUAAACUCAAGUGGCGGACGGGUGAGUAACACGUAAGAAUUUACCUUUAGGAGGGGGACAACAACUGGAAACGGUUGCUAAUACCCCAUAUGCUUUCGAGUGAAAUGGAUUUUUCCGCCUAAAGAGAAGCUUGCGGCUGAUUAGCUUGUUGGUGGGGUAAUGGCUCACCAAGGCGACGAUCAGUAUCUGGUUUGAGAGGACGAUCAGACACACUGGAACUGAGACACGGUCCAGACUCCUACGGGAGGCAGCAGUAGGGAAUUUUCCGCAAUGGGCGAAAGCCUGACGGAGCAAUCUCGCGUGAGGGAUGACGGCCUAUGGGUUGUAAACCUCUUUUUUCAGGGUAGGAAUAAAUGACGUGUACCUGAAGAAUAAGCAUCGGCUAACUCCGUGCCAGCGCCGCGGUAA
rnacentral:rRNA from 1 species